CUUCCUGAGCAUAUUGCGGAUGAAUGGCCUAAAGUUAAAGUAACCAAUUUUUACCGUAAAAUGCCACAUUGAACACAGAAGAAGACCACUGUUCAUCUAAAGUUAUCGGAGAACAGCUUUUUGAGACAAGGCAAACAGGCACUACAUCCAUGAUAAAGCCUCAUUAGUCUCUGUCAGUCAACCUUAGAUAUGACAGGAACAGACCUGAGUGCCAGUCAGAGACACAGAUGGUGUAUAAUGCCAUGUAGAAAAUACAGUGGAAUUGAUGGAGAUCACUAGUAUAUUCAACCAACCAAGAUUUUCAGUGUGAAACAGUGACAUGAUGUCAUAGCGGUUCAGUUAUCAGUGUGCUGCAGUGAUGUGAUUCUCCUACUUGGCCAGCAUUAUGGACAGCUUGUCUUCUUAUUUUAAAGGGCUGUUGUCUCCACGGCCUCCUAAAAGAAGGUUACCAGGAAAUGAUCAUCAGAAGUUGGAGAAAAAGACAGAAGUUGAUGGUUCGUGUUGCACCUCAACCAAUGAAGGAGAUGUAAAAGUGACAGUCAAACAAGGGAAAGAGGAUGGCGUAUGGAUAUUAGAGUAUAUUAUAAAAGGCAAUAAAGAUCCAGAGUUUGGUAUUAGGCUGGGGAGUGUACAAUCUGAGACAGAAAGUCAUCAAUUACAACAAGAUGGAAAACCAAAGACUGUGAUACAGGUAGUUGAGCUACGGCCUGGCAGUAUUGCAGACAGUGGAAAUCAUUUACAAGUUCAUGAUGAAGUUCAAGAAAUAAAUGGACAUGUGCUGCACUUAAUAUCACAAGAAAGAGCACGAUGGUUUCUCAACAGUGCUGUAAGGUCAGGACGAGUGAUGAUGGUUGUAAGACGACCAAAGAAGACUUUAAAAUCUCCCAAUGUAUCUGACAUUGAAGGCCAUCCAGAAACUGCAAGUCCUCAAACAGAAGAUCAUAGUGGAAAAAGAGAUGACAUUGAGAGUAUAGAUGCUGAUGCUAAUCCAAAACUUGAAGGUAGCAGCGAAACAGAAAAACAUAGUAUGAGAAAGUCUUCCAGGGAUAGAUCAAAAGAUGGCAAAUCUAAGAAUGUGUCUGUUUCAAAUAUGCAGGAUGUUAGUCACAGUUCCAAACAUUUCCCUAAUACAGAACUAGGUGCUAAAGUGAACACAAUUUCUACUGAGGAUCCAGGGGGAUUCUUGAAAGAGCCCUUGAAGACUGAUGCAGCUGUCACUCCCAAAAAAUCUCAGGGUUUGACAAAAAGUAGAUCUAAACCUCCAAGACUAAAAAGACAAGAUACCACAGAAAGUAAGCACCUGGAGGCCAGUCAAACGAGUGACAAUUCUACACCUAGCCCAAAACAGAAAGAAAUACCCUGUACAAUGAGACACCAUUCCAAGGAAAGGACUAGGGACAUAAACAGAAAUGCAUUGCUGUUGGAGCCAAAUUUAGAUCUAGAAACUUUGCCAGAAGGAUUGGGAAGAACGCUAAGUGCCAAGAGGAAGAAGGUUGUUGGGCUCCAGUUGGUGAAGGAUGAUUCUGGCUUGGGAUUGCAGAUAGCUGGUGGCAAGGGUUCCAAAAGAGGAGACAUAGGCAUAUUUGUGGCAGGCAUAGAUAAAGGCAGACCAGCAGACAAGGAUGGAAGACUGAGAAAAGGGGAUGAGCUGUUGGUGGUCAAUGGUAAAAAAUUAAUCGGAAAAACACACCAAGAAGCAGUAAAUAUUAUCAAGGAAGCACCUAAAGUUGUGGACUUAGUGAUAGCAGCAAGAGGCAAACACAGUCGUAAUGCUUCAGAUACGAGCACAGCCUCAUCAGCCUCCUUGGAGGUGAAAACUCCACAAGAGCCAAGCCCUACAACUGCUCUGUUGCCAGACACAAGUAAACACCAGGUAACCCCCAGCAGGGAAAACUCACGAUCUUCCCUUCUUGGCAACAAGAGCCCCAAAAUGACAAAAAGCCCCAAAAUGUCCUCUCCUCGAAAAGUAACUCUGGUAAAAGGUGCUGGAGGAAAGGGCCUAGGCUUCAGCAUCGUGGGAGGAGAAGAUUCUGCAAAGGGAAGGAUGGGGAUUUACGUUAAAACCAUUUUUCCAAAUGGUCUAGCUGCAGAAGAUAGAAGGUUGCAACCAGGUGAUGAAAUCUUAGAUGUGAAUGGCCAGUCUAUGCAAGGUUUGACACACAGUGAAGCCAUUACCACCUUUAAACAGCUGAAGAAAGGAGAAGUGUCACUCGUUGUUAAAAGCAGAAUCUUCAGUCCAGAUACAAGUCCAAAGUCAGACCGCAGGUCUCUCAGUUUCUCAAAGCUCAGUCUUCCACCUAUGGACAUCACCAACAAGAUGGCUUUGAUGAGUGGGGCAUCUGCUCUGGCAGCAGAAGGUGAAGAAAAUGAAAAUGAGCCUAUCAAAGAGGUCACUUUAUAUAAAGAACAAGGCAUAGGUUUGGGAAUUGGUGUUGUUUGUAGAUCAUUAAUGGAGGAUCAGAGAGGAAUAUUUAUUGAGGAUCUUGCUCCUCAUUCUCCAGCUGACUUGGAUGGAAGGUUGAGGAAUGGUGACCAAAUUCUUCAGGUGAAUGAGUACAAUCUGACCAAUGUUAGCCUUAAGGAAGCCUAUUCUAUAUUCGGUGCAUUGAAGCCAGGUCACGUAAAACUCAUCAUUCUAAGGAACCUGGCCUCUGUGUCAUCUCCACCAUCUAGUUCAGGUGGCUCCUUGUCUCCCACAAGAGUCAAACAUGUCCUGCCACCAGAUUUAUGCAGAGAAAGCUUCCAUGUUGAUGACACAGGUCAGACGCGUGGAGGUAACGUGUGUAGUAAGUACGUAUUGAACCUUGUAUUCAUUAUUAUGACUAGUAACCCUCAAUGUAGAUUGUCUGUCGCUGCAUCCUGUAAGGUAUAGUAGAACUGGUUGUGGUACGGAGUUAACAAAAACUGAUAAAAAACUCUUCAAUCACACAUUUAUUACCCUAUGAAGUUAAGAAAGUGAAGGGGUAGUUGUCUCAGUAUUUGUUGAUGUGGUAAUACAUAUAUCUUGGUGUUCACAACCUUGUUGAUGUGGAUUUCGUUGUUGUAGUUUGUACCAAAAUAUAUCUGGAUCUCGUGGUUUUGGAUAAUAGUGGUAAAAAAAAUUGAUUGCAUGAGAAUAAGGCAUCUUAUCACUCACUAUUUGGUGUGGAGAUUUUUAAUUACAGAAGUAUAAAAAUGGUGGAUUGAGGGUUGGAUUAAUGAUAAAUUAUGAAAAUCUGCUUAAUCAAUGAUUGUUCCUCAGCUGAACACCAAAUGCAUGCUGUGAAUUACAAGACAGUUAUGUUUUGAAAAUGUCAAGUCUUGUAUUCAUGUUGUAUUUAACCUCUGCAACCAGAAUUGAUAUUCAAAUCCUGAACAAUUUAUUAACCUCGUUGUCAGUUAUUUUAUGGAAUGGAGUGAAUAUUUUUGUUUUGUUUUUAUCGUACAUGGUGUUUGAAUGUCUGGUCUUGACUGGGUGUUUUGCAUUCAGUCAAAAAAGAAAUAUUCACCUUGCUUGUUUCUCCUUGUCUGAAAAAAAUGUGCAUUGUUGUCUUGUAUCAAACUUCAGUUAUGUUCAAAAUUCAAGGAAUUUUUUUUUAUAUAGUUGCAAUAAAAAGGAAAAACAUGACAUUCCCUGUAUUGAUUGAUGCUAAGAUGUCAUUAGUGGAGGGUCAUGUGUGUUUGGUCUGUUGUUAGUAGUUGUAAUAUUAAAUGAAUAUUUGAUGCAAAGAGAUGACUGAUGAUUGUGUUCUACUGAUUAAUUUAGGUUCUACUUUCAAAUUAGAAAUUAAAUAUUGGUGGGGUUUUUAAUGAUCACUUAGAAAUGUUUCUUAUAACAAGUAGAGAUUAUGGACUUGGAAAAGGGGCUCUUUUUCAUUUUGUUAUGGAAAGCUACUCGUUUUGCUACACUUAGUUUGAGUACAUAUUGUGUUGGUUAUGUUUUAGUGAGUUUUAUUAUCAUUUCAGACUCUUUGUAUGAGGUAGCAGUCAGUGAAGCACCCAAAGAAGAACAGGGUGGACAGUCUCCAUCUUCCAUUGUGCCACCAUCGGGGGAGGAGGACG